CCAGCUUCAGAUGAGAAGCGUUUGCUUUACCUUAAAAAAUCUGGGAUUGUUUCACAGACCUGAGCAAACAGCGAUGGUACUUCCAAAAGCAAAUGGUACGCCUGUGUCUCACUGCAGCAUCGUUCACUUGACUGGACAGCCUUGGCAUGGCACACACCUUGUGGGCUUGCUAAAGUCCUACAUCUCACAAGUUAGUCCAAUCUCUUGACAAUAAAGGUUGAAGACAAAAUCAUCCAUUUUCGACAAAUACAUAAGAUUAUAUCUACUGACUGUGGCAAGAAGAGAAAAUAUGGCCCCUUCUACAAACCAGGGGAUGACCAAUGAAUCCUGAAGAUAUCUAUAUAGGGCUGGACUACGCUGAUUAGGAUAGGAGGAUGCCAGAGCAGAAUAAGCCUGCGAAGUUCGCUGCAGCUGGAGCCACUUCAGAUCUAGGCAGGUCUCAAAACCAGAUUCUGUUUUUACUGAUCAUAGGACUGGGAUUAAUGGGUUUCUUUUGAGGUAAUCUUCACAGCAGUACACCCUUGGUUUGUUGCAGGGUCCUGUUGGCCUGGACCUUGUCCUUAGUUAGGCUUUGGUCACCAGUAUGUAACAGCAAGGGCUGCAGCUGCAGCACAACCACUGUAACCAACUCACAUAACCUUCUUAUAAUGUACAUUCCUCUUUCAAUCUUUUUUCUUGAAAUAAAAAGUAUUUUUAAGAAGAAAAUAUGUAGUCUUCAUGUUACGGUAACACAUUGUGAACAAUUUACCACGACUAGGAAAAAUUUGCCAUAGGGUUAAUUAAAUUCACUGUUUAGGAAAAAAAAAAAAAAGCAAAACCCAAUUUUCUCAUCUGCCAGUAAUUAGAUCUUGUUAUACUUUGUCAGCUAGACAGAGAAGCUCUCCAUUACAAAAUACCUAUUCCCUCUGGUACCCACAGACUGGGAUCUAAACACCUCUUAACAUGCUACUUGAUGAAUUCUCAUUGCUCACUAAGAGAUGCACUUUCCAACCUUGCAGUUGUUUGCUUGGCUCCCAUCUGAAUCCUAAGAAGUAUUUUGCUAUCCAUCCUGAGCUGCAGACUGUAGUAGACAUUUCAAUUCCAAAAUAUAUACUGGCACAAAAUAAGAAAG